AAAUCUUCAUAUUUUCUGUUUCAUUCAGAACUUCUACCUGAAACUCAGAACCUGCAGAACAUUUUUCUCUUUGGAGGAAAAAUCCCAGGAACUGGAAGAUCAGAGCAGAAUGAAAACUGGAGAUCAGUGUUGGACAGAAAAGUGAAUAAACCAACAUGGAUAUGACCCGCCACAGCGCCAACGUGGGCCACACCUGAUUCAACCCAAACCGGAAAAUAAAGGAUUUAACUGGAAAAAGCAAAACCCAGUAAAAUCAGCAGCUGGUUGUGAUUAAAAUGCAGUUUGUUGCAGAGGUUCAAACUUCCUGAUGGUGACCUCUCCUCCGUCCCUCACCUUGUCUGGCCGGUUUUAAUCCUCACUGCAGUGUUAGACUGGAGCUCAUCUCUCAGAUUAACCAGAUUAACACUGAGCUGCAACAGGAACCAAACGUCUCUCCUCCAACUUAUUUCACUGAUUAAUAACAAGGUUGGAUAAAAACAUUGAGCUGAGCUUCUCAUUCCUUAAAGAGUCAUGAAGAAAGACUCACCCUGGAACUGCAGAAAAGAAGUUAGAAAGUUU